rnacentral:rRNA from 1 species
CCUACGGGUGGCAGCAGUGAGGAAUAUUGGUCAAUGGGCGGAAGCCUGAACCAGCCAAGUAGCGUGCAGGAUGACGGCCCUACGGGUUGUAAACUGUUUUUAUACGGGAAUAACGCGCUUUACGUGUAGGUCUUUGCAUGUACCGUAUGUAUAAGGACCGGCUAAUUUCGUGCCAGCCGCCGCGGUAAUACGGAAGGUCCGGGCGUUAUCCGGAUUUAUUGGGUUUAAAGGGAGCGUAGGCCGCAUGUUAAGCGUGCUGUGAAAUGUCCGGGCUCAACCCGGGCCUUGCAGCGCGUACUGGCGUGCUUGAGUGCGCGGAAGGCAGGCGGAAUUCGUCGUGUAGCGGUGAAAUGCUUAGAUAUAACGAAGAACCCCGAUUGCGAAGGCAGCUUGCUGCAGCGGAACUGACGCUGAUGCUCGAAAGCGCGGGUAUCGAACAGGAUUAGAUACCCCUGUAGUC